rnacentral:rRNA from 1 species
AACGAACGCUGGCGGCAUGCCUAACACAUGCAAGUCGAACGAGAUCUUCGGAUCUAGUGGCGCACGGGUGCGUAACGCGUGGGAAUCUGCCCUUGGGUUCGGACUAACAGUGAGAAAUUACUGCUAAUACCGGAUGAUGUCUUCGGACCAAAGAUUUCUUGCCCAGGGAUGAGCCCGCGUAGGAUUAGCUAGUUGGUGGGGUAAUGGCCUACCAAGGCGACGAUCCUUAGCUGGUCUGAGAGGAUGAUCAGCCACACUGGGACUGAGACACGGCCCAGACUCCUACGGGAGGCAGCAGUGGGGAAUAUUGGACAAUGGGCGAAAGCCUGAUCCAGCAAUGCCGCGUGAGUGAUGAAGGCCUUAGGGUUGUAAAGCUCUUUUACCAGGGAUGAUAAUGACAGUACCUGGAGAAUAAGCUCCGGCUAACUCCGUGCCAGCAGCCGCGGUAA